GAUGAACGCUGGCGGCGUGCCUAAUACAUGCAAGUCGAGCGAACAGACGAGGAGCUUGCUCCGCUGACGUUAGCGGCGGACGGGUGAGUAACACGUGGAUAACCUACCUAUCAGACUGGGAUAACUUCGGGAAACCGGAGCUAAUACCGGAUAAUAUAUUGAACCGCAUGGUUCAAUAGUGAAAGACGGUUUUGCUGUCACUUCUAGAUGGAUCCGCGCCGCAUUAGGUAGUUGGUAAGGUAACGGCUUACCAAGGCAACGAUGCGUAGACGACCUGAGAGGGUGAUCGGCCACACUGGAGGUGGGACACGGUCCAGACUCCUACGGGAGGCAGCAGUAGGGAAUCUUCGGCAGUGGGCGAAAGCCUGACGGAGCAACGCCGCGUGAGUGAUGAAGGUCUUCGGAGCGUAAAACUCUGUUAUUAGGGAAGAACAAAUGUGUAAGUAACUAUGCCCGUCUUGACGGUACCUAAUCAGAAAGCCACGGCUAACUACGUG
rnacentral:rRNA from 1 species